rnacentral:rRNA from 1 species
CGAGCAUGUGAAUGUGAGCAAAUCCCAAAAAUAACGUCUCAGUUCGGAUUGUAGUCUGCAACUCGACUACAUGAAGCUGGAAUCGCUAGUAAUCGCGAAUCAGAAUGUCGCGGUGAAUACGUUCCCGGGUCUUGUACACACCGCCCGUCACACCAUGGGAGUCAGUAACGCCCGAAGCCGGUGACCCAACCAAACGGAGGGAGCCGUCGAAGGUGGGACCGAUAACUGGGGUGAAGUCGUAACAAGGUAUC